rnacentral:rRNA from 1 species
AUACCCGCGCCCCUAGUGGUGGUCGAUAUUAUUGAGCCUAAAACGUCCGUAGCCGGUCUUUUAAAUCCUUGGGUAAAUCGGGCAGCUUAACUGUCCGACUUCCGAGGAGACUGGAAGACUUGGGACCGGGAGAGGUCAGAGGUACUUCUGGGGUAGGGGUAAAAUCCUGUAAUCCUGGAAGGACCACCGGUGGCGAAGGCGUCUGACUAGAACGGAUCCGACGGUGAGGGACGAAGCCCUGGGGCGCAAACGGGAUUAGAUACCCCGGUAGUCCAGGGUGUAAACGCUGCGGGCUUGGUGUUGGGGGUCCUUUGUGGGCGCCCAGUGCCGGAGAGAAGUUGUUAAGCCUGCUGCUUGGGGAGUAUGUCCGCAAGGAUGAA